rnacentral:rRNA from 1 species
ACUCAAAUGAAUAGACGGGGGCCCGCACAAGCAGCGGAGCGUGUGGUUUAAUUCGAGGCUACACGAAGAACCUUACCUGGGUUUGACAGGCGGCUUGUAGGGAACCGAAAGGUGACCGACCCGCAAGGGAGGCCGCCCAGGUGCUGCAUGGCUGUCGUCAGCUCGUGCCGUGAGGUGUUAGGUUAAGUCCUGUAACGAGCGCAACCCCCGGGUCUAGUUACACGUUGUCUAGACCGACUGCCCGUGACAAGCGGGAGGAAGGUGGGGAUGACGUCAAGUCAGCAUGGCCUUCAUAUCCAGGGCCACACACACGCUACAAUGGCCGGUACAGUCGGUUGCCAAGCGGCAACGCGGCGCCAAUCCUCCAAAGCCGGUCUCAGUUCGGAUUGGGGGCUGCAACUCGCCCCCAUGAAGGCGGAGUUGCUAGUAACCGCCGGUCAGCCAUACGGCGGUGAAUACGUUCCCGGGCCUUGCACACACCGCCCGU